rnacentral:snRNA from 1 species
GUGCUUGCUUUGGCAGCACAUAUACUAAAAUUGGAACGAUACAGAGAAGAUUCGCAUGGCCCCUGUGCAAGGAUGAAACGCAACUUCAUGAAGUGUUCCAUAUUUUU